AUGUAUAUACAUAUUGUGUGUGGAAAGAAUAGGAAGAAAAAGGGGUGGAUAAGAUUGAGAAAGAGAGAGUUAUCAGGAAGUGGAAAAAAGAGAAAAGGAAAGAAAGAAAAAACAAGAAAGAAAGAGAAGAAGGAAACGUGAAGGAAGAGGAGAGAAAAGAAGAGGAAGAAAGAAGAAAGAGGAAGAAGAGAGAAAAGAAGAGGAAGGAAGAAGAAACUCAUCAUACCACCAUAAUCUCAUUUCCAUCAUCAUCAUCACCAACUUCAUCUCCAUAUAUCAAUUUCAUCAUCACCUUCUCGAAUCAAGUGAGUUCUAGUUAGUUUCCUCUCUAGAGUAAGAUUCUCGUGAAAUUUGAAUACUAAGGUUUG
rnacentral:lncRNA from 1 species